UGGGGAAUUUUGGACAAUGGGGGAAACCCUGAUCCAGCCAUCCCGCGUGUGCGAUGAAGGCCUUCGGGUUGUAAAGCACUUUUGGCAGGAAAGAAACGUCAUGGGUUAAUACCCCGUGAAACUGACGGUACCUGCAGAAUAAGCACCGGCUAACUACGUGCCAGCAGCCGCGGUAAUACGUAGGGUGCAAGCGUUAAUCGGAAUUACUGGGCGUAAAGCGUGCGCAGGCGGUUCGGAAAGAAAGAUGUGAAAUCCCAGAGCUCAACUUUGGAACUGCAUUUUUAACUACGGGGCUAGAGUGUGUCAGAGGGAGGUGGCGUUCCGCGUGUAGCAAUGAAAUGCGUAGAUAUGCGGAGGAAAACCGAUGGCGAAGGCAGCCUCCUGGGAUAACACUGACGCUAAUGCACGAAAGCGUGGGGAGCAAACAGG
rnacentral:rRNA from 1 species